rnacentral:rRNA from 1 species
AGUGCGGGGAGCGACACAUCGGCCAACACCGUGCAAUGGGCCAUGGUGGAGCUCAUGAGAAAUCCGAAAGCAACGCAAAAAGCACAAGCCGAGCUGCGCGACACACUACAAGGGAGGCCAACAGUGACAGAAGAUGACCUGGCCAACUUGAGCUACUUGAAGCUCGUCAUCAAGGAGAUGUUGAGGCUGUACCCAGCGGUUCCACUGCUCCUGCUAAGGGAAUGUUGUAAGACAUGCAAGGUCAUGGGUUACGAUGUGCCCAAGGGAGCUACCGUGUUUGUGAACAUGUGGGCGAUCGGCAUGGACUCCAAGCACUGGGUGGUUGCCGAGAUGUUUAAGCCGGAGCGGUUCGAGAGCGGCACAAUCGAUUUCAAGGGUGUGGACUUCGAGUUCAUACCCUUCGGGGCCGGGCGAAGAAUGUGCCCUGGAGUGUCGUUUGUGCAGCCUAGUAUGGAGCUCGUGCUCGCCUCGUUACUGUACCACUUCGACUGGGAUCUUCCAGUUGGAGUCUCGCCAAACGAGCUGGACAUGGAAGAGGAGCUAGGGGUCACCCACCGGAGAAAGAACGGUCUUCACUUGCGCCCAGUCAUUCGUGUGCCCGUGCAAGCUACCCUCUAA